UUAAAUUUUAUUUAUUAAUUUAAUUUUUGUUUAUUUAGUUUAUUAAAAAUAAUUAUAAAUUUAAAAGUUUUAGUAUUAUUUAAAGAAAAAAUAAAUUUAAUUAUAAUGAAUUAGUAUUGUAAAAGAAAAUUGAAAUAAUUUGAAAAAUUAUUAUUUUAAAAGAAAAUUUAAUUUAUUGUACCUUGUGUAUCAGUGUUUAUUAAAUAAAAAAUAUUUAUAUAUUUUUCUCGAUUUUAAAAGAGUUAAUAUAAUAUAAAAGUUAAUGUUAUAAAAUUAUUUUUAAUAUUAUAUUAGAAAUGAAAUGUUAUUCGUUUUUAAAGGUAUCUAGUUUUUCAAGAAAUAAAUUUAAUUUAGAAUUUAUAAAUUUAUUUAAAAAAUUAAUUAGUUAAAUAAUUUAUAAGUUUAAUAUUUUAUGGGAUAAGCUAUAAAAUAAAUUUUUAAAAAUAAUAAAUAAAUUAAAAAUAUAUAUGUUUAGAAUUAGCAAUUAUUAAUAAAUAUGUUAUAGUUUAUUUUUUACAAAAAAUUAUUUAUUAUAUUUUAAAUAUUUAUUGAAAUAUUAAUUUUAAUUUUUAAAAUUAAUUAAUAAUGAUAAAAUUAGUAUAUUUUGUUGUAAAAUAAAUUUAAAUGAUAAGUUAAAAUAAAG
rnacentral:rRNA from 1 species